rnacentral:rRNA from 1 species
UGCUCCGGAUCUCUUAGUGGCGAACGGGUGAGUAACGCGUGGGAAUCUACCUUAAAGUGGGGAAUAACUAUUGGAAACGAUAGCUAAUACCGCAUAAUCCCUUAGGGGCAAAGGCUUCGGCCGCUUUUAGAUGAGCCCGCGUUAGAUUAGGCUGUUGGUGAGGUAAUGGCACACCAAACCUGUAAUCUAUAGCUGGUCUGAGAGGACGAUCAGCCACACUGGGACUGAGACACGGCCCAGACUCCUACGGGAGGCAGCAGUGGGGAAUAUUGGACAAUGGGGGAAACCCUGAUCCAGCAAUGCCGCGUGAGUGAUGAAGGCCCUAGGGUUGUAAAACUCUUUCAGAAGUGAAGAUGAUGACGGUAACUUCAGAAGAAGCUCCGGCUAACUCCGUGCCAGCAGCCGCGGUAAUACGGAGGGAGCUAGCGUUGUUCGGAAUUACUGGGCGUAAAGAGCGUGUAGGCUGUUAGGUAAGUCAGAGGUGAAAUCCCUAAGCUCAACUUAGGAACUGCCUUUGAUACUAGCUUACUAGAGAUCGAGAGAAGUUAGCGGAAUUCCAAGUGUAGAGGUGAAAUGCGUAGAUAUUUGGAAGAACACCAGUGGCCAAAGCGGCUAACUGGCGCGGAGCUGACGCUGAGACGCGAAAGCGUGGGUAGCAAACAGGAUUAGAUACCCUGGUAG